rnacentral:rRNA from 1 species
GGAAGGGGUGUAUUUAUUAGAUAAAAAUCAACACUGUUGGUGAAUCAUGAUAACUUCUCGGAUCGCAUGGCCUCGUGCUGGAUAUACUUCAUUCAAAUAUCUGCCCUAUCAACUGUCGAUGGUAGGAUAGAGGCCUACCAUGGUUGCAACUGUAACGGGGAAUAAGGGUUCGAUUGUGGAGAGGGAGCCUGAGAAACGGCUACCACAUCCAAGGAAGGCAGCACACGCGCAAAUUACCCAAUCCCGACACGGGGAGGUAGUGACAAUAUGUAACAAUAUACGGCUUUAUCGUCGUAUAAUUGGAAUGAGUACAAAGUAAAUCCCUUAACGAGGAACAAUUGGACCGCAAGUCUGGUGCCAGCAGCCGCGGUAAUUCCACUUCCAAUAGCGUAUAUUAAAGUUGUUGCAGUUAAAAAGCUCGUAGUUGGACCUUGGGCCUGGACGGGCGGUCCGCCUCACGGCGUGUACUGUCUUGCCGGGCCUUUCCUCUUGGUGAUCUGUUGUUUCGGCAGCAGGGAACCAGGACCUUUAC